rnacentral:snRNA from 1 species
AGAUGUGAGGGCGAUCUGGCUGCGACAUCUGUCGCCCCAUUGAUCACCAGGGUUGAUUGAGAUGAUCUGGCUGGCUAGGCGGGUGUCCCCUUCCUUCCUCAUCGCUCCAUGUGCCACCCUCCUGAAGCUGUGUACUCAGUCAAAGAGGACAACCUUCCCCCAAGGAAGAGGACCAUUUUUUGGUCAAGGGUAUAGAGUAGCUGCACUCCCCUGCUGAACCUCCAAACAAGCUCUCAAGGUCCAUUAUCAGGAGCCAAAGAGGGGAUGUGACUCUAAACACAUUAGAAGAGCAGUACAUAACUAUGGUCUGAAUGUU